rnacentral:rRNA from 1 species
AUUGAACGCUGGCGGCAGGCCUAACACAUGCAAGUCGAGCGGAUGAAGGGAGCUUGCUCCUGGAUUCAGCGGCGGACGGGUGAGUAAUGCCUAGGAAUCUGCCUGGUAGUGGGGGAUAACGUCCGGAAACGGGCGCUAAUACCGCAUACGUCCUGAGGGAGAAAGUGGGGGAUCUUCGGACCUCACGCUAUCAGAUGAGCCUAGGUCGGAUUAGCUAGUUGGUGGGGUAAAGGCCUACCAAGGCGACGAUCCGUAACUGGUCUGAGAGGAUGAUCAGUCACACUGGAACUGGGACACGGUCCAGACUCCUACGGGAGGCAGCAGUGGGGAAUAUUGGACAAUGGGCGAAAGCCUGAUCCAGCCAUGCCGCGUGUGUGAAGAAGGUCUUCGGAUUGUAAAGCACUUUAAGUUGGGAGAAAGGGCAGUAAGUUAAUACCUUGCUGUUUUGACGUUACCAACAGAAUAAGCACCGGCUAACUUCGUG